rnacentral:tRNA from 1 species
AUUGAAGUGGCAGAUAAAUGUAUUAAAUUUAGGUUUUAAGUAUGGGAUAUUUCCCCUUCAAUA